rnacentral:rRNA from 1 species
GAUGAACGCUGGCGGCGUGCCUAAUACAUGCAAGUCGAGCGAACGGACGAGAAGCUUGCUUCUCUGAUGUUAGCGGCGGACGGGUGAGUAACACGUGGAUAACCUACCUAUAAGACUGGGAUAACUUCGGGAAACCGGAGCUAUACCGGAUGAUAUUUUGAACCGCAUGGUUCAAAAGUGAAAGACGGUCUUGCUGUCACUUAUAGAUGGAUCCGCGCUGCAUUAGCUAGUUGGUAAGGUAACGGCUUACCAAGGCAACGAUGCAUAGCCGACCUGAGAGGGUGAUCGGCCACACUGGAACUGAGACACGGUCCAGACUCCUACGGGAGGCAGCAGUAGGGAAUCUUCCGCAAUGGGCGAAAGCCUGACGGAGCAACGCCGCGUGAGUGAUGAAGGUCUUCGGAUCGUAAAACUCUGUUAUUAGGGAAGAACAUAUGUGUAAGUAACUGUGCACAUCUUGACGGUACCUAAUCAGAAAGCCACGGCUAACUACGUG